rnacentral:rRNA from 1 species
UACGAAGGGGGCUAGCGUUGCUCGGAAUCACUGGGCGUAAAGGGUGCGUAGGCGGGUUUUUAAGUCAGGGGUGAAAUCCUGGAGCUCAACUCCAGAACUGCCUUUGAUACUGAAAAUCUUGAGUCCGGGAGAGGUGAGUGGAACUGCGAGUGUAGAGGUGAAAUUCGUAGAUAUUCGCAAGAACACCAGUGGCGAAGGCGGCUCACUGGCCCGAUACUGACGCUGAGGUGCGAAAGCGUGGGGAGCAAACAGG